CGUAGGUGAACCUGCGGAAGGAUCAUUACCAAAUCCUAGCCGCUGUCGACCUUUUUGGUUGCAGUGGUGAAACACCGUGCACUGGCGCCGGAGGUGGGAGAUCCUCGUUCGGUGAACAUGGGGUGUGCAGCCGGUGCUCCAUGGCAGAGCUGCACUUAAAUCGAUUGGGCCAAUCACCGCGAACCGCCCAUCGGGCCUCACACCGAAUGCUCCCAUCUUUGGUUUUUAUCCAUUUUUUGAAAUCUUUAUUUAUUUUGGUGCUGUGCGUUGAUCGAUAAAAAAGUAGACAACUUCUGACGGUGGAUCUCUUGGCUCGUGCAUCGAUGAAGAACGCAGCAAGCUGCGAUACCUAGUGUGAAUUGCAGAAUUCAGUGAAUCAUCGAGUCUUUGAACGCAAAUGGCGCUCCCGGGGUCUCCUCGGGAGCAGGUCUGUCCGAGCGUCUGCCAAUAAACAGGCCGUCACCACCGUGCGUGACGGGAAUGAGGAACUGCAGACGCAGAGUUGUCUGCACUCCUUCAAGAACAUGUGCAAUCCGGAACCGUGCCACCGAGCACAGGCAGACGGUUGCGACAACGGCAUGACAUGUUGUCCCACCGACACUGGCUGUAGGCAAGUGACACACGAUUGCAUCUAUCGGGACGUG
rnacentral:misc_RNA from 1 species